AGUGAACGCUGGCGGUAGGCCUAACACAUGCAAGUCGAACGGCAGCACAGUAAGAGCUUGCUCUUACGGGUGGCGAGUGGCGGACGGGUGAGGAAUACAUCGGAAUCUACUUUUUCGUGGGGGAUAACGUAGGGAAACUUACGCUAAUACCGCAUACGACCUACGGGUGAAAGCAGAAGAUCUUCGGAAAUUGCGCGAUUGAAUGAGACGAUGUCGGAUUAGCUAGUUGGCGGGGUAAAGGCCCACCAAGGCGACGAUCCGUAGCUGGUCUGAGAGGAUGAUCAGCCACACUGGAACUGAGACACGGUCCAGACUCCUACGGGAGGCAGCAGUGGGGAAUAUUGGACAAUGGGCGCAAGCCUGAUCCAGCCAUACCGCGUGGGUGAAGAAGGCCUUCGGGUUGUAAAGCCCUUUUGUUGGGAAAGAAAAGCAGCAGGUUAAUACCCCGCUGUUCUGACGGUACCCAAAGAAUAAGCACCGGCUAACUUCGUG
rnacentral:rRNA from 1 species